ensembl:lncRNA
CUCAUUUGUAAAACUUUAUUGAUGAAGAAAUCUUGACUGAGAUAAAUAUGCUAUUUCAGGUCAUUCUAUUGAUUUUUAAAGCCUGAAGGAAAGCAUAUUGUAAGAAUUUGUGUGUGUGUGUGUGCGCGCGCGUGUAUGAAGUUGCUUACUAUUAUUUCACUUAACUGCAAGUUUUGGAACUUAACAUCAUUCAGUUAGUAUAUAAAUAGAUUGGAUUGUUUCAUUACAUAUAUUAUUCAUGUUCAAAACAAUUACAUAUGUAUUGAUACCAAGCUAAGUAUCAUCUUCAUUUUACAGAGGAGAAAACAGUGGCUCAGAGAUUCAAGCUUAAUAUCCUGCUUUUCAUAAAGUCAAAAUAGCACCAAAACAGAACUCAAAGAACACUGGACUGAACUCCAAAAAAAACCAUACAACUCUUCCCAGACCAUUACCUAUUCACACAGCAGACUUGAUAAGAAGAAAAAAAUGACACACUAUCAAAUUUCCAUUUAUCCUAAAGCACUGUUCAGAUGACAUCAUAACUGUGUCUAACAAAGGCUUAUCUGCUUGGUUGAUGGGUGAUCUGAAUGGUCCUCUUCCUAAACUGUUUGCACAUACCUCUUGAAUAAGG